CCGCGCCGGGCGCCAGCGAGCUGCGGAGAGCUGCUCGCCGGCGCGAGGUAAAGGGGGAAGCCCUGGGCGACGGAGAGGUCGCCGGGACCUGGCCGGCCCAGGUCGGGGUGCCUGCGGACGGCGGGCGUGACCCUGCGGGCCACGGGAGAGGCCGGAGGGGAGACGUUCCGGCGGGAGGCUGGGACGGGGGAGGAGCGUCCAGGAUUUAAGAAGGGUCCGCAGAUGAGACCCGCAGCGAGAGGGAGGAAGGCGACGAGCGACGGCAGAGGCGAGCCCCCCAGAGUAUCCAAUGCUGUCACUUCAAUGUGUUUUAGACCUAUGCCGUCUGGUAGGACCACAUGUGGCUACUGAGUGCUUGAUAUGUAGCUGGCCCAAAUUGAGAUGUGCUUCAUUUAGAAAACAGUUUAGCCUUAUCUGGUGAAGUUGAAGCUGUACAUACUCUGGUCCACUAGUUCCAGUCCCUUGGAAACUUGCUGAUCUGCUGAAGAAGGUUCGGAACAGCUCUGCUCAGAAGAUCCCACCCUGAAGACAAGCCAAAUGUUCCCCCACAGCAAGAUGGAUUGUAUAUAUAUAUAUAUACAUGAAAUAUUAUACAUAAUAUAAUGAAAAUGAACUAACCACCACCACAUGGGACAACAUGGAUGAAUUUUGCAAACUGUGGAAUCAAAGAAGCAAGGCCUAUGAAGCAUAUAUGACGAUUCCAUUGCUAUGUUGAUUUUUAAAACAAAAAUAGACUGAAGUUUUUAGGGAAAUGAAACAAUAAAAACAAUCACCAGUGGUUGCCUGAGAGGGUGACCAGGAAGGGAUGAGGGGGUGGGUGGGCAGGGCUACUAUUUUAAUGUGGUUCAAGGGCAGCCCAGGUGGCUUAAGGAUUUAGCGCCGCCUUCAGUCCAGGGCCUGAUUCUGGAGUCCCAGGAAUGAGUCCCACAUCGGGCUCCCUGUGUGGAGCCUGCUUCUCCCUCUGCCUGUGUCUCUGCCUCUCUCUCUGUGUCUCUCAUGAAUAAAUAAAAUCUUAAAAAAAAAAAAAAAGACACACAGGUAUUCUAAAGCUGAGGCUGCUAAAAGUGUUGCUGGUCAAAUUUUGAUCAUCAGCCCCUGACAGUUCCAAAAGUUCAAGGUCUUGUAGAAUCAUGGCAUCAGAAUGAGUGGCAGCGAGCCAAGUGAGGCUGCUCCAGCUGCUAAAAACACUGUCUUUGAUAUUUGCUGAGUAAGGAAGUUUUCUUGCCUUGACCAAUUUUCACCAUAGUUGAAGACAGGCUAUUGUGGGGGAAAGAUGCCUGAUAAAAUUUAUUUUAGCAGGGACUCCAUGGGUAGGCCUGUUGUUUUUCUUUUAAGAUUAUUCAUUCGUUCAUUCUGAAGAGACAGAGACAGAGAGGCGGAGACAUAGGCAGAUGGAGAAGCAGGCUCCUCAAGGGGAGCCCCAUAUGGGACUUGAUCCCGGGACUCUGGGACCACACCCUGAGCCGAAGGCAAACGCUCAACUACUGAGCCACCCAGGUGUCCCUGAGUAGGCCUGUUUUAAAGCUUUGUAUGAGGGCAGCCCCGGUGGCUCAGCGGUUUAGUGCCGCCUUCAGCCCAGGGCCUAUUCCUGGAGACCUGGGAUUGAGUCCCAUGUUGGGCUUGCUGCAUGGAGCCUGCUUCUCCCGCCACUUGUGUCUCUGCCUCUCUCUCUGUGUCUCUCAUUAAUAAAUAAAAUCUUUUUUUUAAUAAAUAAAAUCUUUAAAAAAAUAAAAAUAAA